AUUUUGUUAAUUUCCUUGAGAUAUAUGAUGGGUUUGAUUUCUCAAAGAUCUUGAAAACUGGAAAAGAAAAUGCUACGUCACAUGUGCAAAAUCUAAUUUGACAAGCAAGAUAUUCUGAUCUAUGUAGAGAUACUCCAUGGAAAUAUAGUUAAUAAAUUACUUUACACAUGGCUAAAAGCCUAAAACUUGCAAAAACCUAAUCAAAGCAGUUACGAUUCCACCGAUUAUCUGGUUUGCGAGGAUGACUGGUUUCAGUUUGAUCUGACAAAAGGAUAUCAAACAACCACAACCAAGAUUUUCGCUUCGACAUACCUG
rnacentral:lncRNA from 1 species